UACAAUCGCUCAUUCAUACUCGCGGUAGUAGAUCGAUUAUCAACCUGGUGAGAUGUAGUAUGCCAUCACCUAUAAUUUGGUCCAACCUCGAUUGAAUUCCAUUUUCAUAUCUCGACGAAAUAGAAGAUAAGAGCUUGAAGAAUGUUUGUUGACCAUUUGAGCAACUAGAAGAAGCAUUGGGCUAUCGAUGGAUUUUUUCAAAAUUGUGUAGCAGAAGACCAUUCUGACUACUCGAGCAGAAAACCACAUAGCAGACGUAUUCAAUGACAAAUCUGGAAUCUCACCAGCAAUUAUUCCUUCCGACUCAAUUGAUCUUCAACAUUGUUCAAGGCAGCACUGAAUAUUGAUCGGCUGUAAUGAAUGUCGAGAGAAGGUCACUUAGCAAACUAAGAUGGCAAUGGUGAGGAUAAUGAAUGAUGUUCUGGAUGAAUAAGUGUGCUAAUGCUCUACUUUGAGCAUAUAAUUGCAAAAAUAAAGCAAAAUGCAAUUAUUGUAGCACAUAACCAAAAAAUGUAGUUUUAUUUUUGAGUUAAAAAAGAAAUCAUGAACCAAAAAUAGUAACAGAGGAAGUCGUAUAACUUUAAGUGAGUUUGACUUUUCUUUUGAACCAAAGGUAGCAUAUUAUUACUUACUUUCAUUGGCGCUACAGUCCGAUGUGGACCUUGGCCUCCUGCACAAUUCGCCUCCAAUCGUCUCUCCUCCCCGUCACAUUCUCACAUCCUCUGACGCCCAAAACACGCAAAUCGGCCCCCACAUCCUCCAGCCAUCUCCUCCUGGGCAUUCCUUUUCUACGCGUACCAAUCAUAUUACUUUUUAACAAAUUAUGCGGUAGCCUGCAGUGCUCCAUUCUCUGGAUAUUCCCAACCAUCUCAACCGUUGUGCCUUGAUAACUCGUACAAUAUCUUCUGGUCCCAUGAAAUUGGCAAACAAAUAUUAUUAUUAAACAAACUAUUACCCAUAUGCUUUGAUAUAAAGAAUAAUAAUAGGAAUUAAUAGGUAAAAAUAGGAAUUAAUAGGUAAAAGGUAA